rnacentral:rRNA from 1 species
AUUGAACGCUGGCGGCAUGCCUUACACAUGCAAGUCGAACGGUAACAGGUCUUCGGAUGCUGACGAGUGGCGAACGGGUGAGUAAUACAUCGGAACGUGCCUAGUAGUGGGGGAUAACUACUCGAAAGAGUGGCUAAUACCGCAUGAGAUCUACGGAUGAAAGCAGGGGAUCGCAAGACCUUGUGCUACUAGAGCGGCCGAUGGCAGAUUAGGUAGUUGGUGGGAUAAAAGCUUACCAAGCCGACGAUCUGUAGCUGGUCUGAGAGGACGAUCGGCCACACUGGGACUGGGACACGGCCCAGACUCCUACGGGAGGCAGCAGUGGGGAAUUUUGGACAAUGGGCGCAAGCCUGAUCCAGCAAUGCCGCGUGCAGGAUGAAGGCCUUCGGGUUGUAAACUGCUUUUGUACGGAACGAAAAGCCCUGGGUUAAUACCCUGGGGUCAUGACGGUACCGUAAGAAUAAGCACCGGCUAACUACGUGCCAGCAGCCGCAGUAACAC